rnacentral:rRNA from 1 species
CGCACGGGUGAGUAACACGUGGGUAAUCUUCCCUCGAGCGGGGGAUAACCUUCCGAAAGGAGGGCUAAUACCGCAUAAGACCACAGCCGGUCCGCCGGCCGAGGUCAAAGCAGGCCUCUAUAUAUAAGCUUGCACUUGAGGAUGAGCCCGCGGCCCAUCAGCUAGUUGGUGGUGUAACAGACCACCAAGGCUAAGACGGGUAGCUGGUCUGAGAGGAUGGUCAGCCACACUGGAACUGAGACACGGUCCAGACUCCUACGGGAGGCAGCAGUGGGGAAUCUUGCGCAAUGGGCGAAAGCCUGACGCAGCGACGCCGCGUGGGUGAUGAAGGCCUUCGGGUUGUAAAGCCCUGUGGGGAGGGACGAAUAAGUGUUGGCUAAUAUCCUGCAUGAUGACGGUACCUCCUUAGCAAGCACCGGCUAACUCUGUGCCAGCAGCCGCGGUAAGACAGAGGGUGCAAACGUUGUUCGGAAUUACUGGGCGUAAAGCGCGUGUAGGCGGCCUGGCAAGUCGGAUGUGAAAGCCCUGGGCUCAACCCAGGAAGUGCACUCGAUACUGCCAAGCUCGAGUCCCGGAGAGGAUGGUGGAACUCUCGGUGUAGAGGUGAAAUUCGUAGAUAUCGAGAAGAACACCGGUGGCGAAGGCGGCCAUCUGGACGAUGACUGACGCUGAGACGCGAAAGCGUGGGGAGCAAACAGGAUUAGAUACCCUGGUAGUCCACGCCGUANACGAUGGGUGCUAGGUGUCACGNGUAUUGACCCCGGUGGUGCCGCAGCUAACGCAUUAAGCACCCCGCCUGGGAAGUACGGCCGCAAGGCUAAAAC